GGGUUGUGAGGUUAAGCGACUAAGCGUACACGGUGGAUGCCCUGGCAGUCAGAGGCGAUGAAGGGCGUGCUAAUCUGCGAUAAGCGCCGGUAAGGUGAUAUGAACCGUUAUAACCGGCGAUACCCGAAUGGGGAAACCCAGUGUGAUUGGUCACACUAUCAUUAACUGAAUCCAUAGGUUAAUGAGGCGAACCGGGGGAACUGAAACAUCUAAGUACCCCGAGGAAAAGAAAUCAACCGAGAUUCCCCCAGUAGCGGCGAGCGAACGGGGAGGAGCCCAGAGCCUGAAUCAGCAUGUGUGUUAGUGGAAGCGUCUGGAAAGGCGCGCGAUACAGGGUGACAGCCCCGUACACAAAAGCGCAUGUGCUGUGAGCUCGAUGAGUAGGGCGGGACACGUGGUAUCCUGUCUGAAUAUGGGGGGACCAUCCUCCAAGGCUAAAUACUCCUGACUGACCGAUAGUGAACCAGUACCGUGAGGGAAAGGCGAAAAGAACCCCGGCGAGGGGAGUGAAAAAGAACCUGAAACCGUGUACGUACAAGCAGUGGGAGCACCCUUCGGGGUGUGACUGCGUACCUUUUGUAUAAUGGGUCAGCGACUUAUAUUCUGUAGCAAGGUUAACCGUAUAGGGGAGCCGGAGGGAAACCGAGUCUUAAUUGGGCGUUAAGUUGCAGGGUAUAGACCCGAAACCCGGUGAUCUAGCCAUGGGCAGGUUGAAGGUUGGGUAACACUAACUGGAGGACCGAACCGACUAAUGUUGAAAAAUUAGCGGAUGACCUGUGGCUGGGGGUGAAAGGCCAAUCAAACCGGGAGAUAGCUGGUUCUCCCCGAAAGCUAUUUAGGUAGCGCCUCGUGAAUUCAUCUCCGGGGGUAGAGCACUGUUUCGGCUAGGGGGCCAUCCCGGCUUACCAACCCGAUGCAAACUGCGAAUACCGGAGAAUGUUAUCACGGGAGACACACGGCGGGUGCUAACGUCCGUCGUGAAGAGGGAAACAACCCAGACCGCCAGCUAAGGUCCCAAAGUCAUGGUUAAGUGGGAAACGAUGUGGGAAGGCCCAGACAGCCAGGAUGUUGGCUUAGAAGCAGCCAUCAUUUAAAGAAAGCGUAAUAGCUCACUGGUCGAGUCGGCCUGCGCGGAAGAUGUAACGGGGCUAAACCAUGCACCGAAGCUGCGGCAGCGAACGUAUCACCCAAGACAACUUUACGGAGUUGACGAUUGACGGAGCGAAGCGACGUCAAAGCGUUCAUUAAAGUCGAGUUGGCUUAGGGAUACGUUCGUUGGGUAGGGGAGCGUUCUGUAAGCCUGUGAAGGUGUGUCGUGAGGCAUGCUGGAGGUAUCAGAAGUGCGAAUGCUGACAUAAGUAACGAUAAAGCGGGUGAAAAGCCCGCUCGCCGGAAGACCAAGGGUUCCUGUCCAACGUUAAUCGGGGCAGGGUGAGUCGACCCCUAAGGCGAGGCCGAAAGGCGUAGUCGAUGGGAAACGGGUUAAUAUUCCCGUACUUGGUGUUACUGCGAAGGGGGGACGGAGAAGGCUAUGUUGGCCGGGCGACGGUUGUCCCGGUUUAAGGGUGUAGGUGUGUGUUCCAGGUAAAUCCGGUUCACUUUAACACUGAGGCGUGACGACGAGGCACUACGGUGCUGAAGCAACAAAUGCCCUGCUUCCAGGAAAAGCCUCUAAGCAUCAGGUAACAUCAAAUCGUACCCCAAACCGACACAGGUGGUCAGGUAGAGAAUACCAAGGCGCUUGAGAGAACUCGGGUGAAGGAACUAGGCAAAAUGGUGCCGUAACUUCGGGAGAAGGCACGCUGACACGUAGGUGAAGUGAUUUACUCAUGGAGCUGAAGUCAGUCGAAGAUACCAGCUGGCUGCAACUGUUUAUUAAAAACACAGCACUGUGCAAACACGAAAGUGGACGUAUACGGUGUGACGCCUGCCCGGUGCCGGAAGGUUAAUUGAUGGGGUCAGCGUAAGCGAAGCUCCUGAUCGAAGCCCCGGUAAACGGCGGCCGUAACUAUAACGGUCCUAAGGUAGCGAAAUUCCUUGUCGGGUAAGUUCCGACCUGCACGAAUGGCGUAAUGAUGGCCAGGCUGUCUCCACCCGAGACUCAGUGAAAUUGAACUCGCUGUGAAGAUGCAGUGUACCCGCGGCAAGACGGAAAGACCCCGUGAACCUUUACUAUAGCUUGACACUGAACAUUGAGCCUUGAUGUGUAGGAUAGGUGGGAGGCUUUGAAGUGUGGACGCCAGUCUGCAUGGAGCCGACCUUGAAAUACCACCCUUUAAUGUUUGAUGUUCUAACGUGGACCCGUAAUCCGGGUUGCGGACAGUGUCUGGUGGGUAGUUUGACUGGGGCGGUCUCCUCCUAAAGAGUAACGGAGGAGCACGAAGGUUGGCUAAUCCUGGUCGGACAUCAGGAGGUUAGUGCAAUGGCAUAAGCCAGCUUGACUGCGAGCGUGACGGCGCGAGCAGGUGCGAAAGCAGGUCAUAGUGAUCCGGUGGUUCUGAAUGGAAGGGCCAUCGCUCAACGGAUAAAAGGUACUCCGGGGAUAACAGGCUGAUACCGCCCAAGAGUUCAUAUCGACGGCGGUGUUUGGCACCUCGAUGUCGGCUCAUCACAUCCUGGGGCUGAAGUAGGUCCCAAGGGUAUGGCUGUUCGCCAUUUAAAGUGGUACGCGAGCUGGGUUUAGAACGUCGUGAGACAGUUCGGUCCCUAUCUGCCGUGGGCGCUGGAGAACUGAGGGGGGCUGCUCCUAGUACGAGAGGACCGGAGUGGACGCAUCACUGGUGUUCGGGUUGUCAUGCCAAUGGCACUGCCCGGUAGCUAAAUGCGGAAGAGAUAAGUGCUGAAAGCAUCUAAGCACGAAACUUGCCCCGAGAUGAGUUCUCCCUGAGACUUAGAGUCUCCUGAAGGAACGUUGAAGACGACGACGUUGAUAGGCCGGGUGUGUAAGCGCAGCGAUGCGUUGAGCUAACCGGUACUAAUGAACCGUGAGGCUUAACCUUACAACGCCGAAG
rnacentral:rRNA from 1 species